AACUCUAGUUAAAUGGUCCUUUCUCUCCCCCUCUUGGAUUCUCUCUCUUCCCUUUCUCCCCGAUACAGAGAUGCCUCCUUCCUUACAUCCCAGUCGGCCCAGGCCGUCGACACGCACGACACCAGCAGCCUCGCAAGCUCUCGAAACCCCCAAUCCCCGAGCCUCGCUACCGUACGUGCCGCCUAUCCCAGUCAACGGGCCGCCCGAAGUCACUACCACCUUGAUGUUUUCGAGCAAAAUCCGGCCACUUCAAGCCUCUAUGAGUUGAGCCACGACCACCAUCGUACUCAGCAAAUCAUGGGGAGAAAAACCCACUUGAGGAUCGGGCCCAAAAACCACUGUGGGUGUUCGCCAAAAUUCAUGGAAUUUCGAACGGUUUUGGCUUAGUUCCGGCCACCCUGAGCCGUCGUGGGUCACACUGUCACCUUUUCUAGUCUCCUCGUGGUCAGGGCUUUCAAGCCCAACCAAUUUCGUUACCCAAUCGCCACUUCUUCAUUGUUGUCGGAUCUCUGCGUGGGCUUUGGCUAGCAACGACGUGAGGUGACAAGAGGCUCGUCUCGAGCUCCCAACCGCUAUGAGAAGCAUUGAGGACAAGCUUGCCAAUUUGAAGAAGGAAAAACAAAAUAUUAAAGAAGAAAUUGAUUGUAUCACUCCUGAACUUUUGAAGACUAAAGAAGCUAUUGAUAAGCGUAGUGUAGAAAUUGGUAAACUAGAGAGGAGGAUUAAUGAAAUUGUUGACCGAAUCUACAUAGAUUUUAGUAGGUCUGUUGGGGUGGCAAAUAUCCGUGAGUACGAAGAGAACCAACCUAAGGAUGCCCAAAAUAAUGCUGAGGAAAGGCUUGACUUGAAUUUUUAAUUUAUUUUAACUGUAGGCAUAUUACUUGAUUUCCUUGUUUCUACAGAUUACGUACACACAUAUAUAUAUAUAGUCAAUGUUUAUGCUUAAGCAUGCAUGCUGCUUUGAUGAAAUAGUUUUACGUAUUGUUUAGAUUUGUUGGGAAUACUCUUGUUUGUGAUGCCCUUGAGGAGGCUAAAGGCUUUAGAUGUCAUAGUUUGAGGCUCUAGAAUGUCUUGUAUUUCUGCAUUUUCAUUUAUAUUUUGUUUGAAAGAAAUAUUUAUUGGUAAUCUUUAUAAUAAUUUCUAUACUUGUGAUUGUAUAUUGAUGCGAGUUUUAGUCUGUAACGACCCAAAAUUGCUAAUGAGGCUUAAGGGCAUUGAUUAGUGUGCCGGGAGGGCAUAACUGGUUUAUGUGUGAUUUAAAUGAUAAAUGCAUGAUUAUGUGAUAACCAAGCUUAUAAGAUUAUAUGGAUAUCUGAGAUGCAUGAUUAUGAGUAUUAGUAUGCAUGUAGGCCCUGCUUAGCUUAUAGGGCAUAUUUGUAAUUUUGGCCCGUUGAGGGCAUAAGCGUGAUUAUUUGUGAUAAAUUGUUGAGACCACAUUAUUAUGUGGAUAUAUUUGUAGCUGAUGACUCGAGGCGAUCCUAGUGAGCGGUUUAACGAAAAAGUCACGGUGGGUAUUUAUACCCCGCUCGGUGGGAGCCUGUGGGUAUUUUUGGGAACUUGGUAAAAUAUAUUGGAGACUAUUUGACAUUGGAAAAAAUAAUUGGUGAUUAGUUAGGUGAUGGGAUUUAAGCAGUAAUUAUUAGGGACACUUGAGGAAUUAGCGAGAAUUGGAAACAAAUGACCAAAAUGCCCUUAAAAUGUUUAAAGGCUUAGGUUUUAAUGGGAGGUCAAAAUGGUUAUUUGAUAGUUAGAAAAAGGAUAAUGGUUAUACUGCCUUUUUUUUAUACUUAGUGGAAGUUGUAGAAAGUUUUAGAAGUUGAAGGAAAGAAAGAAAGAAGGAAAAAAAAACAGAGUACAUGACCUCUCUCUCUCGAAUGGUUGUCUUCCUCACCAUUUCUUGUGGAAUUUGAAGCUGUAAACUCAGAGAGAGUCUAAGCUAGGUCUUGGAACUUUGAUCCUUGAAGUAAUUGAAGAGGGUUAGCUGGAAUUAACUAUCAAAUUAAGGUAAGGUUUGAGGUUGUUUUUGAGAUUUCUGAGUUUUGGUGAGAUUGAUUUCUGAACUUGAGCUUUGGAUGGAAAUUAAGGGAUUUGAGCUUUGGGAACUGAGGAGCUGGAGGGGCAUAAAGGCCUACCUAGGGUCAAAUUCUCCAUUAAAGGUAACAAUUCUAGACUUGAUCAUUUGAGUUUCUGGGUUGUUUUUGGUUUUUCUGAUGAGUUCUUUAGUUUCAAACUAAAUUCUUGUUUUUCUGUGUUUAAUGAUGCAUGUGGUCAAGUUUGAUGUUGUUGAGCCAUGUGGGAUGAGAUGUAGAGGAUGGUAGGCUAAAUUUGAAGUGUGGGUGAGGUCUGGAGGGGUUUUAGGGAGUUUUGGAUCGGGGAAAUUUGAAGGAAGAACUCAGAGUGAUGUUGGUGCUGUCUGUAGCGCUAGCAUUAGAGCGCUAUGGAGCUAUGCUUGGUUUAGGGGGGGAGUUUUUGUCUCUGUUUGUAGUGCUGUAGCACCCACUUUGUGGCGCUGCAGCGCUACCCUGCCUCCAGAAGUGGAUUUUGGGUACUUUUUAAGGUUUUUAGGUUGGAUGCUCGGGGGUCGAUUCCAUCACCCCGUUUGGUGGAAUUGGGGCUUCUCGAGGGCUCGGGAUUGGUCCCGAGGUUAGGUUACAGAAUUGAAUGUUAAUGAGGGUUCUAUGUUAUGUUUGGGACUAGGUGUAUGCUAAGGCUCAGACGGGAUCAUGCUCGAGGAUCAUCUCUUUUAACGAGAGCGCUCAUAAUCUAAGGUAACAAACAACACCCGGUUAUGUGACUAUGUUGGGACUAAGAGUUCUCUUUAUUUGUUUGUCAUGUCAUGAGAUGGUAUUAUGCCAUGGGGACAUGUGAUAAAUGACCUAAAAGUGCUGGAAUGAAAAUUUGCGCAUAGGGCGCGGCUCGGCCACUAGUAGCUGAGGUUAAGUACAUAAUCACUGAGCUUGGCCUAAGCGAGCCGGAGUCGGUGGGAUAAUCAGAGGGUGCGGCCUAAGGGUGUCGACCCUGGAUUUUGGUGUGAUAAGUUUACUAUUGUUUAUACUAAAGAUUGUAACGAGUUUGUUAUCUGUAUAACUAAUUAUUGACUUGUAGGUUGGUAUCAUUGUUUUGUGAGCAAUAUGACCUGUUGUAUAUCUGAGUGAUGAUUUGUGAAUUAUUUUCCUGUUGGUUGACGGAUAUGUUGUGCAUUAUAGUUUUCUUGUUGGACCUUGGCUCACGGGUGCUACGUGGUGCAUGUAAAGGCAAGGGCAAGGUGGACCAGUUAUGAGUUGGAGAGCUCUGGGGCUGAAUGCACAUAAUCAGCUAAUCGACUGCCACGGCCGAUGAUUGGUAUAAGGAUAGGAGAACCAAAAAUGUCUAUUUUGCCCUUAGAGCGGCAAAUAGUUGUAUAUUUCCUGGAAUUUUGUAAAUUGUCUUUAAACUUUAUUUCUUUUGGGAUCCUAUAUAUGAAAUGUUUAUUUGAAUAAAAUGUAUCUUUUAUGACCAAAAUAUUUUAAACCUAGUUCAAUUAUAGUUUCAGUAACAUGGUUAAACUAAAUGACUUGAUUAACAAGUCUUGCACCUUUAUAAACACACAGUGUAAUGAUCUUGGUUACCCAGGACAUUACAACUUGGUAUCAGAGCGUCCUAGGUUUAAGGGUUCCUGAAGACUGGCUGACAUGUACAUUUGCUGCUAAGGACAAGCUCGACUCAGGGUUUGGUAAUUGUGUAUGCAUGUUUAUAUACUUAAAUGAAUGGAAAGAAAUAUGAAUGUUGAUAUCUGAUUGAUUAAUAGGGGGCAUGAGAUAUUGAUAGGGCCUGACCCUUGACUGUUGUGAUGAUAUCGAGGCAUGCUUAUUAGCAUUGUUGUGUAUGUGAAUGAAUAUUUGAGUAAACUCUUAUAUCUUGAUUGCUUGUGAAUGAUUGAGUUCCAAUGGUUGAUUAUGGAAGGAUUAUUACCCUGUCAUCAUAGUCUGAUUGUCGAGUCGUUGAUUGCAGAUUAACUUGGAUAAGUAUGUGUCCAAGAUGAUCUGUACUACUCACAGGCAGUAGAUCUGCGGAGAGGGAUGAUGACCAGGGCCAGACCCCUCCGCUAGUUCCUGAGAACUGACAAUAGAUUAUGGCAGACAUGCAAGCCUAGCUUCUGAGCCAGGAAGAGCAGAUUUGAAUUUUGAGACAGCAGACUCUGUUAGGGAGUGCUGCCCCUAUUGUGUCACCUGCAGUGGUACCAGUAGUACAGCCAGCAGAGGUUGGGAACAGAUGGGAGCCGUUGUAUUAGCGGUUCAGGAGACAGCAUCCUCCAACUUUUGAAGGGGGACUAGAUCCACUGAAAGCUGAACAGUGGAUGAAUUUGAUCACCGUUAUCUUAGACUUUAUGAAGGUAGAGGGUCAUGACAGAAUGACCUGUGCUGCAUAUAUGUCGAGAGAGGAUGGUCGCAUAUGGUGGGAAGUAGCAUCACAGACUAGGGAUGUUCCUACUUUGAGUUGGGAAGGAUUUAAUGAUUUGUUCAGCCAGAAGUAUUUCAAUGUUGCCAUCACGGCAGCGAACGUUAAUGAAUUUGUGGGAUUGGUUCAGGGCAAUAUGAUAGUUAUAGGGUAUGCCCUGAAGUUCGCACCAGAUCUUGUGCCUAUUGAUGCAGAUAGGCAUGACAGAUUUAUCAGAAAGCUUAAUGCUAUGAUAGUCUGAGAUGUGAGGAUUACAACAGUUCCUGGGGGGACAACUUAUGCCCAGGCUGUUGAGAAGGCUCUUACCGCAGAGGAAGUGGAGAACAAGAUCUGGAGGGAGAGAGCGGCAAGACAGGAGGACAGUAGGGCGGUGCCUCCAUACUCUGGGUCUGGUAGGGGCGGAGACCCCAGUGAUCUGAAGAGGAAUACCCCUGAUGCUUUGACCGCUCCUGUUCUUGAUAGGAGAGGUCGGGGUACUUAGGGUGGCCUUAAGGGAGGCGGUGAUACAUGGAGGAGCUAUCCUGAGUGCACGAGGUGCAGAAGACGCCAUCUGGGAAAAUGUCGGGCUAAGGCCUGUUAUAUGUGCGGGGUGUUAGGACACCUCAAGAAAAACUGCCCAACAAUGAAGAAAGGGGAAGCAGGGAAGGUGGACGGCUUGACUCCAGCUUGAGUGUUCACCCUGACGUAGGCAGAGGCCGAGGCUAGUCCCUCGGUAGUGACAGGUCAGCUUUCUAGUGCUGACUCUCCUUUAACUGUAUUGAUUGACUCUAGUGCUACACAUUCAUUUGUUUAUAGUAAGGUGAUUGAUAGACUGUGUAGACCUAGUGAGUAUUAUACUGCGGGGUUCAAGACUAUAUUGCCUACAUGGGAACUAGUUGUUUCUAGGAGGUGGAUUAGAGCACUGCUAGUAAUAGUUGAUGGUAGGGAAUUAUCAGUAGACUUGACACUACAAGAAAAAACAGUAUUCAUAACACUUAAAAACUGCUAAUCGGGAGUAUUGAUAACGCUUCGGAAAAUGCUAACAUAGCCCCUGUUAUUAAAAGUCCUGUAUUUUCUAUAACA